rnacentral:lncRNA from 1 species
UAAUACUCACAUUAUGCAAUUCUUGGAGUGUGUUUUUCAGCUCUAUCAGCCCAUGGCAGACAUCCAGCUGAUCACACUGUGUCCACAUAAGGCAAAUGCUGAGCUGUAAUCCAUCAAGCUGUUUCCGCAUAGAGAAAAGGCCAUAUGAGUACACAGCCAGAAGGUGUCUGCCUACAAGACAAAGAGGGAAAACUUACCUGAAACCAACCCUGAUGGAUAUUGGAUUUCUAAGCUCCAGAACUGUGAGAAAAUUAAUUUUAUGUGCUUUAAGACACUCAAUUUGUGGUAUUCUGUUAUGGCAGCCUAUGCUAGUCAAUUUGCAUUACCAUAAAGCAACACCUGAGAGUGGGUAAAUUAUAAAGAAAAGAAGUUGAAUCGGCUCAUGGUUCUGCAGGCAGUACAGAAGCAUAGUGCUGGCAAUUGCCCCUGGCAAGGGGCUCAGGAAGCUUACAAACAUGGCAGAAGGCAAAGGGAAGCCAACAUAUCACACGUAAGCUCAGGAAGCUUACAAACAUGGCAGAAGGCAAAGGGAAGCCAACAUAUCACGUGGCGAGAAAGACAGAGAAGCGGUAGGUCCCAGACUCUUUUAAACAACAAGACCUCAUGUGAACUGAGGGGAAACUCACUUUCACCAAGGAGAUGGUGCUAAACCACUAAUGAGGGAUCUGUCCCAUGAGCCAAUCACCUCCCACCAAGACCUACCUCCAAUUUUGGAAAUUAUAUUUCAACAUGAGAUUUGGAGGGGACAAACAUCCAAACCAUAUCCCAGCCUGAGCAGACUAACAGAGUCUCUGAAUAAAUCUAUGAAAAUGACUAGAGUAUUAUUUUGUUGAGUGAUUUCUUCUUGUAUUAGGAUUGGUCUCCUUGAAAAUAUUUUUCUCAUAUCUGUUAUAAUAAAAUACUGAGAAUCAUACUAAUUCUACUCUAAACUUAGAUAUUUAAGAGGGUUGGAUUUGACUGAUUGCUCUGAUGUUGCUAACAUAGUCAAAGACUUUUCAAAACUAAAGUGUAAUAUUAUGUCAUGCAACCUUGAGAAAAUUACAAUGGACAAAGCAGAACUAUAAUUCACAAUUCAUCUCCCAAACAAAUUGUGACACCCCUUCUUUCCAAUCCACUGAAAUAUGCCUAAAAUGAGAAAAAAGGGAAAUCUUAAAAACAACAACAACAACAACAAAGAAAAAACAGAAAACGGCAACAUUCAGGCAAAAAAGAAUGUGAGGACUAUGAUGCUGGCAUGCUAAACUUAAUUAAUAAUAAAUGAGAGAGUUUGGAAUGAU